CGCUGCCUCAACACGCCAUUGCUCUCUGAGACUGAGAUCGCUGUGCAGCCUGUGCUCCUUCCUUCUAGCUCCGGUUAUCUCCCUCAUCUUCUUCCCUCAAAAACUUUACUGAAACUCCACCACUCUCUCUCUGGAAGGGCUUUGAUAAUUUCUUCCAUUUACAAAUUUUCUAUGGCGAGUGCGGAUAAUCAUGGAGGUAGGAACACGGAGCAGGUCUCAUGAUGAUGAUAUAUUUGUUUUCCUUAUACAUUGGAGUCUCUGUUAAGCUUUCGGGUGUAUAAAUAGAAGGCAGUUCCUGUAUAAUUCUUCUCUGGAUAAUCACUUGUUUCGGCUUAGCCUUUGUAUGGGGAAUUGAAAGGUAUUCACAAUAUAGAAAAUAGAAAAUUUCUUUGGCAUGCUG